GACGAACGCUGGCGGCGUGCUUAACACAUGCAAGUCGAACGGAAAGGCCCUGCUUUUGUGGGGUGCUCGAGUGGCGAACGGGUGAGUAACACGUGAGUAACCUGCCCUUGACUUUGGGAUAACUUCAGGAAACUGGGGCUAAUACCGGAUAGGAGCUCCUGCUGCAUGGUGGGGGUUGGAAAGUUUCGGCGGUUGGGGAUGGACUCGCGGCUUAUCAGGUUGUUGGUGGGGUAGUGGCUUACCAAGGCUUUGACGGGUAGCCGGCCUGAGAGGGUGACCGGCCACAUUGGGACUGAGAUACGGCCCAGACUCCUACGGGAGGCAGCAGUGGGGAAUAUUGCACAACGGGCGGAAGCCUGAUGCAGCAACGCCGCGUGCGGGAUGACGGCCUUCGGGUUGUAAACCGCUUUCGCCUGUGACGAAGCGUGAGUGACGGUAAUGGGUAAAGAAGCACCGGCUAACUACGUG
rnacentral:rRNA from 1 species